GUAGGUGGCAAGCGUUGUCCGGAAUUAUUGGGCGUAAAGCGCGCGCAGGCGGUCCUUUAAGUCUGAUGUGAAAGCCCACGGCUCAACCGUGGAGGGUCAUUGGAGACUGGGGGACUUGAGUACAGAAGAGGAAAGCGGAAUUCCAAGUGUAGCGGUGAAAUGCGUAGAGAUUGGAGGAACACCAGUGGCGAAGGCGGCUUUCUGGUCUGUAACUGACGCUGAGGCGCGAAAGCGUGGGGAGCAAACAGGGAUUAGAUACCCUGGUAGUCCACGCCGUAAACGAUGAGUGCUAAGUGUUAGGGGGUUUCCCGCCCCUUAGUGCUGCAGCUAACGCAUUAAGCACUCCGCCUGGGGAGUACGGCCGCAAGGCUG
rnacentral:rRNA from 1 species